rnacentral:ncRNA from 1 species
UUUCUUAGGUUUAUUGUAGGCCUUUUUUUGCAUAGUAAUAUGAAAUUAAUACGACACUGUAUGCUAAAACGCCUAUUUUAGUUUAGGCAUUAUAAAUAGGUAAUUAGCAGGAAACUCUAGAGUAAAUGCGUAAAUGUGUAUUUAAAUAAUGAGGAUCCUCAGAGACUAUACGUGUUGCAACUUUAAAGUUGAAAGAAUAGUCCAAAUAACAUAGAGAUAUGUUA